GUGCACUGCCAUGACCUCCUUCUGGCUGGGAAUUCCCAGGAGAAGGAGCAUCUCAAGCGAUGCCCUUUGUGCUGAUAAUGCUAUUGUUUCGGGCUAGGCUGAGCGCCAACUACCCGGUCAGCUCUGAUGUGCCCUGCGAGUUCCUGAGAACCACCAGGAAGGGGAAGGUGAAGCUCACACGGUGCUACGCGGGUCUCUCCGGAGGAGCGGUGUCAUUUCUCCAGAGCACCCUGUGUGCAAAUCCCUGGGGAAGACCAUCAGCCUCCGAGUGCCUCCAGAGCCCGUGGCUCCAGGAGACGGGUUUGGACAACAGGCAGCAAGCGCUGGUUACCUUCCCCACCACCAAACUGAGGAAUUUCCUCACUGAUCGGGAAAAGAAAAGGGGCCUUCUGUGCUCCAAGUACGGCCUCAUGAUCGCACAGUGAAGGGGAUGUGGCGAUAGGCACGGCUUAUCUCCCCUUCUGCUCUGUGUUUGGUAGCAAACUGUUCCUUCGAGUUACUGUGCAUCAGCUGAUCUGAGCUGACACUGUUCUUCCUGAAUGCAAUUUAGCAUAGCUAAGCAAAUUAACCCAUUGCCACCUGGUAAGAGCUGAAAUACAAACACUUA
rnacentral:lncRNA from 1 species